rnacentral:rRNA from 1 species
GACGAACGCUGGCGGCGUGCCUAAUACAUGCAAGUAGAACGCACAGUUUAUACCGUAGCUUGCUACACCAUAAACUGUGAGUUGCGAACGGGUGAGUAACGCGUAGGUAACCUGCCUGGUAGCGGGGGAUAACUAUUGGAAACGAUAGCUAAUACCGCAUAAUAUUAAUUAUUGCAUGAUAAUUGAUUGAAAGAUGCAAUUGCAUCACUACCAGAUGGGCCUGCGUUGUAUUAGCUAGUAGGUGAGGUAACGGCUCACCUAGGCGACGAUACAUAGCCGACCUGAGAGGGGGAUGGGCCACACUGGGACUGAGAAACGGCCCAGACGCCUACGGGAGGGAGCAGUAGGGAAUGUUCGGCAAUGGACGAAAGUCUGACCGAGCAACGCCGCGUGAGUGAAGAAGGUUGUCGGAUCGUAAAGCUCUGUUGUAAGAGAAGAACGGGUGGGAGAGUGGAAAGUGCACACUGUGACGGUAUCUUACCAGAAAGGGACGGCUAACUACGUG